rnacentral:misc_RNA from 1 species
CCUUUCUACGGAGUUUUGUGGGCGCACGGGGUGCGCCGAUGAUGGGAUGCUUUACAGCCUGGCUUCCUGGCCGGGUGGUGUCCCUUGCUGGCUGGAAAAGGGUCAGGGCCGUUCCCGCCUGUGUGGUGGGGUGGUUGUGGUGUGGUGCAUGCUGUUGGGUUCCCGGACCGCCAGGCCCCUUGUCGGGGGUGGUGUUCCGUUCCCGCCGUCCUGGUCCCGUCCCUUGUGGGGUGGGUGCCUGGGGUGGUGUGGUGUGGUGGUUUGAGAACUGGAGAGUGGACGCGAGCAUGAACGGUGCGCCCUUGCGGGUGUGCCGGGUGUGUUCGUACUGUUGAUUUUGUCGAACCGUUCCGUGCCCGCUUUCGGGUGGGUGCGUGGAUUGUGUUCGCGAGUGUUUUGGUAGAGCCGCCCGCACUGUUGGUGUGGGUGGUGUUUAGAUGAUCUGAUUAGUUGUCGUAGGGUGUUCCAGUGCAAGUGGCAUGGGCCCGUGGCCCCUUUUGCGGGGUUGGUGG